AUCGUGUAGAUAUUAUAUUCACCAUCAGAUGGCGCUGCGAGCUACACUGAUUUUACUUGGUCGCGCGCGCGCCAUUACUUCAUGAAGAAGAACGUAAGUUAGCCGUCGAAAGCAGAGCGCCGUUAUCGUCAAAAAUCAAAAGAAACAUCGUUAUCGCUUUCAAGCAGAUGCACAGGAUCAGUGGGUAAUUAAAAUCUCACUCAUUAUCAGAGCCACGGCGGAACAGACUCACCUCUGAAGCAGAAGUAAUGAGAAGGACCAAAAGCAAUUGCGAAACAGAUGGAAUGAGCCAUUUUUGGGACUGGAUUACAGGAAAGGAUCUACACCAGCCUAAAGAGAGAUCAACCAUCAAAGUAGUGAGAUCAACCAUCAGAGAAGUUGCUGUUACCAUGAAAAUCAUAUCAAAUUCCACAAAGGUAAUCAGAAGAGCAUCUCUGAAUGCACAACACGUCGAACCUUGAAGCAGAUGGGCUACAGCAGCAGAAGAACACACCGGGUGCUACUCCUGUCAGCUAAGAACAAGAAGCUGAGGCUGCAAUUUGCACUGGAUCACCAAAAUUGGACAAUAAAAGACUUAAAAAAAACUUUGCCUUGUCUGAUGAGUCUCGAUUUCUGCUCUGACGUUCAGAUGGUAGGGUCAGAAUUUGGCGUAAACAACAUGAAAUGAAUUAAGGCAGUUUUGUCCAACUUGGUACUAGCAAGAUGUACCUA